AUAUUCUGCCCUAUGAUUUAUAUUUAAAUGGCUGCAGUAUUUUAACUGUACAAAGGUAGCAUAAUAAUUAGUUUUUUAAUUGAGGACUGGAAUGAAUGAUUAAAUGAAAGAUUUAUUAUAUAAUUUAUAUCUUUUAAAUUUUAUUUUUAGGUAAAAAAGCUUAAUUAGUUUCUUGGGACGAAAAGACCCUAUAGAAUUUUAUUUAAUAAAUUUAAUUAAUUUUUAUCUAACUAUUAUCUAGUUUUAUUAAGUUUAAUUGGGGUGAUUAAUAAAUUAAAACUUUAUUUAAUAUUAUCAUUAAUUUAUGAUUUAUUAGAUUAAAAUUAACUAUUAUAAGAAAAAAUUACCUUAGGGAUAACAGCGUAAUUUUUAUGGGGAGUUCAUAUCUAUAUAAAAGUUUGCGACCUCGAUGUUGAAUUAAGAUAAAUAUACAAAGAAGCAUUUUUAUUAUUAAGUC
rnacentral:rRNA from 1 species